rnacentral:rRNA from 1 species
UACAGAGGGGGCAAGCGCUAUUCGGAAUUAUUGGGCGUAAAGGGCGCGUAGGCGGCUUUGCAAGUGACGGGUGAAAUCCCCCGGCUUAACCGAGGAACUGCCUGUCAAACUGCAUGGCUUGAGACCAGGAGAGGUGAGUGGAAUUCCUGGUGUAGCGGUGAAAUGCGCAGAUAUCAGGAAGAACACCAAUGGCGAAGGCAGCUCUCUGGGACGGUACUGACGCUGAGACGCGAAAGCGUGGGGGAGCGAACAGG